CUAUUAUAGGAUUAAACACAUUUUUUCUAGAGGUUAUUGAUGUGUAAACCGGGGCGGUUAACUCACAAACUGAAUAAAAGUCCGAAGGACUUUUAUGUCAAGUUUGUGAGUUAGAGACCCGGUUUACACAUCAAUAACCUCUAGAAAAAAUGUGUUUAAUCCUUAUAAUUCUUCGGCCAAACAUACGCGAUUAUUAAUUUACUUUGAUGGCUACUACAUGUACCAUCAGAAGCACAAUGGCAUGUCGUAACUAAGGAGUACGCCGCCAUCUUGACUUUCUAUAAAAACUUAAAUGUUUAAUAAAUGCAACAGAAUCUAAAAUGAACUAGCACCUACCUCAAAAACUUCAUUUUAAUUAGAAACUAUCCGAAUUUGAAGCGUACAAGUAACGAAAUAAUCUUCCGUCUUAAAGUUUUCAAUCGUAUGACGUCGUGUUUUGCCAUGACGUGAGUUCGUCAAAUCCUUCGUGAAAUUUCCCGGAAUUUUAUUUAAAUUUUAUUUUUAUUCAUUAUCGAAG
rnacentral:lncRNA from 1 species